rnacentral:rRNA from 1 species
CCUACGGGAGGCAGCAGUGAGGAAUAUUGGUCAAUGGCCGGAAGGCCGAACCAGCCAUGCCGCGUGAAGGUCAGUGCCCUAUGGGCGUUAAACUUCUUUUGUGCGGGAGCAAUAAUGGUCACGUGUGGCCAGACGAGAGUACCGUACGAAUAAGCAUCGGCUAACUCCGUGCCAGCAGCCGCGGUAAUACGGGGGAUGCAAGCGUUAUCCGGAUUUAUUGGGUUUAAAGGGUGCGUAGGCUGUGAGGUAAGUCAGCGGUGAAAUGCCCGCGCUCAACGGGGUGAAGUGCCAUUGAUACUGCCAUGCUGGAAUGCGGAUGACGUGGGAGGAAUGUGUGGUGUAGCGGUGAAAUGCAUAGAUAUCACACAGAACACCGAUUGCGAAGGCAUCUCACGAAUCCGCGAUUGACGCUGAUGCACGAAAGCGUGGGUAUCAAACAGGAUUAGAUACCCGGGUAGUC